AGUGAACGCUGGCGGUAGGCCUAACACAUGCAAGUCGAACGGCAGCACAGUAAGAGCUUGCUCUUACUGGUGGCGAGUGGCGGACGGGUGAGGAAUACAUCGGCAUCUACUUUUUCGUGGGGGAUAACGUAGGGAAACUUACGCUAAUACCUCAUACUACCUACGGGUGAAAGCAGGAGAUCUUCGGACCUUGCGCGAUUGAAUUAGCCGAUGUCGGAUUAGCUAGUUGGCGGGGUAAAGGCCCACCAAGGCGACGAUCCGUAGCUGGUCUGAGAGGAUGAUCAGCCACACUGGAACUGAGACACGGUCCAGACUCCUACGGGAGGCAGCAGUGGGGAAUAUUGGACAAUGGGCGCAAGCCUGAUCCAGCCAUACCGCGUGGGUGAAGAAGGCCUUCGGGUUGUAAAGCCCUUUUGUUGGGAAAGAAAAGCAGCAGGUUAAUCCCCCGCUGUUCUGACGGUACCCAAAGAAUAAGCACCGGCUAACUUCGUG
rnacentral:rRNA from 1 species